rnacentral:rRNA from 1 species
AGAGGGCACAUCCCUUAUCGUGAUAGUAAGUUGACUCGCAUCCUCCAGUUUGCACUUGGAGGCAAUGCAAAGACAUCAAUCAUUUGCACGGCUGCACCUGAAGAGGUUCAUAUUGAGGAAACUAGAGGAACUCUUCAAUUUGCAAGUAGAGCAAAAUGUGUCAGCAAUUGUGCUCAAGUAAAUGAGAUUCUAACAGAUGCUGCUCUGCUGAAGAGGCAAAAACUGGAAAUAGAGGAACUUCGCAAAAAGCUGCAGGGUUCCCAUUCUGAAGUCUUGGAGCAGGUUAUCCUAAAGCAACGCAAUGACAUGCAUAAGUCUGAACUCGAGCGUGAUCGUCUAGCAAUGGAACUUGAAGACGAAAGGAGGUUAAGGGAGAUAUUAGAGCACCGGUUGGCCGAGCAAAAGAUGUCACAGAACCACAACAAUACUGACAUAUCAGUAGAGCAAUUUGCUGAUUCUAGCCAGCUAGACGUAUUAAAAACUCCAGAUUCUCAGCGGACACAGGAUGGAUUCAUUGCUAGCCGCUCACACUAUUUGAAGGAUGCAGAGUUCUGCCCAAUACCUGAAAAUUUAGGUUCUGUGGCUGAUGAGGAUCUCUGGAUGCAAUUGAAUAAAGAAUGCAUCACUGAUCUUGAUAUGCUUGAAAUGACAUCUGAUUUUAAAUGUCCUCCGUCCCCAGAAGAUACGACAGCGGUUGUGCCAUUAGAGGAGCCUAUUGACGUGAGAUGCCUUAGGCUAGAAACUGCAUGCAGCUCCGAUGGGCAACAGCUCGAGGAUUCAAAAGCAAGAUGCACAACUCUCGAGAAGGAGCUUGAGCUGCUCAAGGUGGAAAACUCAUCCUUGCGACAAGAGCUCGCCAAGUCGAAGCACGACACAAAUCAUGAGAAAGAGGGGCUGCUUAAGGAGCUGGAGACCGAGAGGUACAAGAUGGAGGAGCUCAAGCAGGAUAUCAGGCUCUUUAGCCAGGCCUUCUCACAGAGGCAGGGUCAUCUGACGUCCCUGUACACCAAGUCCAAGGUCAUCGUGGAGAACUGCAAGGCCUCUCGGGUGGCAUUGCCCUAA